ACUCCUACGGGAGGACAGUCAGGUGGGAAUAUUGCACAAUGGGCGCAAGCCUGAUGCAGCCAUGCCGCGUGUAUGAAGAAGGCCUUCGGGUUGUAAAGUACUUUCAGCAGUGAGGAAGGUGGAGUCGUUAAUAGCGGCCUCAUUUGACGUUAGCUGCAGAAGAAGCACCGGCUAACUCCGUGCCAGCAGCCGCGGUAAUACGGAGGGUGCGAGCGUUAAUCGGAAUUACUGGGCGUAAAGCGCAUGCAGGUGGUUUGUUAAGUCAGAUGUGAAAGCCCGGGGCUCAAUCUCGGAAUAGCAUUUGAAACUGGCAGACUAGAGUACUUAGAGGGGGUAGAAUUUCAGGUGUAGCGGUGAAAUGCGUAGAGAUCUGAAGGAAUACCGGUGGCGAAGGCGGCCCCCUGGACAGAUACUGACACUCAGAUGCGAAAGCGGUGGGG
rnacentral:rRNA from 1 species